rnacentral:rRNA from 1 species
GACGGGACCGCACAAGCGGUGGAUGAUGUGGUUAAUUCGAUGCAACGCGAAAACCUUACCACCUUUGACAUGUACGGAAUCCUUAGAGAUAGAGGAGUGCUCGAAAGAGAGCCGUAACACAGGUGCUGCAUGGCUGUCGUCAGCUCGUGUCGUGAGAUGUUGGGUUAAGUCCCGCAACGAGCGCAACCCUUGUCAUUAGUUGCUACAUUCAGUUGGGCACUCUAAUGAGACUGCCGGUGACAAACCGGAGGAAGGUGGGGAUGACGUCAAGUCCUCAUGGCCCUUAUAGGUGGGGCUACACACGUCAUACAAUGGAUGGUACAAAGGGUCGCCAACCCGCGAGGGGGAGCCAAUCCCAUAAAGCCAUUCGUAGUCCGGAUCGCAGUCUGCAACUCGACUGCGUGAAGUCGGAAUCGCUAGCAAUCGUGGAUCAGAAUGUCACGGUGAAUACGUUCCCGGGUCUU